CGGGAAUGGAGCCAGUGCUGGCAGAAAGCACGGGAAGGGAAGGGGGAGACCAGAUCCAAAAAAGCCAGUUUUGAGCUGGAAGAAAUUCUCAAAAUCAUUUAGGUGGACAACUCCCCAUCUCACAGGUGAAGUGACAAGGUACCAAGAAAACUGAAGGACAAGGUCACCGAAUGCCUCCUCGCUGUCCGCGGUGCAUUCCCGCACCCUUGUGUCC